UCCUUCACCUUGGCUCCGCUUCACUCACGGACACAGAAUGGAGAGCAGCAUCAGCGAACGGCACCACGUGUUGGCCUGUGCGACGACGUUGCACGUCACACUCCUCACCAGCCACUACGCUGAGGUAUCCCAGAGGGACGAUGCCGCGGCCGCCAGCAGCAACAACGCCGCCGCUGGGCACCGACGUGAGGCGCCACCGAGCAUCAAAGCGAGCAGCAGCAGCAGCAGCACCAAUACAAAAGUUGCCGGGAGUGAAGAGGUCGAACUCUACAGCUGCAGCACAGCGGUGGAGCAACUGGACACAGUGGCCCGUGUGCUGUGCAGCAUCCUGCGGCAGCAGAGCUCCGCCAGCGAAGGCGGGGCAGCGGACGCGGCACGGCGCAUCCAAAUGGCAAAGGCCGUACGAGACAAUGUCGUGCCGUGGUUCGAAGUCGCGGCUGCAGCUGCAGCCGUGCAAGGGGAUGAGCCACAUGUCCACUGUUUGCCCACUCACUCUUCGGAAAGCCCCGGUGACAGUUACUUGAGCCUGGCUCCAGCGUUAUCUAUCACGACCCCGUCCUUGCAUGCCGCUGGAGCGAAGGAAGGUGGUUCUCAGCGCCCCGCCGGCGGCAAUGGCCGCAGAAACACACCGCAGCAGCAGCGCCCAAGCUCCGUCAGGCUCUCGACCUCGCGCAGCUCGAUGCACUCCUCGUCGAUGCUCUCGGGGAUGCAGCGCCACAUGAGUGAAAUGGAGCGGGAACAGCGUCAGCUUUAUCUCGCUAAAGAGCUGCCACCGUGCGAGCUGGUCAUGAUUCCAGGUGAGACUCCAGCGUCUGCUCCCUCGUACGUGAUUUUUGUGUACCGCUUGGCUCAUGAGGAGGGCGUGCUCGCCGAGCUUUCGGCCCUCUCUGCGGAAGAGCGGAGCAGCAGCGCAGAGAAGAUGGAUGUACCUGCAGCCGACAGCUUCGAGCCCUCUGGCAGGGAGAAGCGCGACACAUGCGGCUUCCAGGCCGCCGCGAUUGUCACACGCGCCUUUUGGAGCACCAUUCGGCCGAUCCUGCGGGACCACCUGCAUGCCACCAACAGCAGCGUUGUUCCGGCCCACGUACCUGUUGUGUGGGCCAUGGCAGAUCCACGAAUGGUAAGCGGCUUUCUUCCCUACACCUCCGACGGCACGGACCACGUUUUCUCGCCGUACGCCUGCCCCGUUCCUGUGAGUCCGUCAUCCAUGCACAUCCCUGAUGAGGCAGCCGCCGUGGAACGCUGGGUGCGGCUGGUGCCACGCACCGCUUUCUAUCUCUAUGACCCCUCGGCCAGCAGCGCUGCUGCGCAAGACACGCUCGGUGUGUUGCAAGCACACCUGGCAAAAUGGACGUACUCGCAAGCGAGCUCUCCAAGGGGACCCCGUCCGUUCAGCAGCGGAAACACGAAGAAGUCGAUGCCCCCGCAGCGCGGUGGCGCCAGUCCGCAAACGGGGGCAGCGACGAAGGCAACUCGUGCGAGCGGGCCGGCGCCAAGCGGAUCGCGAGGUUCUAAGAGCCGCAGCGGGCGAGGCGCCGCAGGAGUGAAUGCGUCGGCACUCGCGCCGUCUGCAUCGCAUCAAACGGCGCUACAGUCUCGGCAGCUGAGUAUGGGGAUCGACCUGCAGGCGACGCCGGCGGAGUUCCCGUACUGCACUACCAACCCUCGCUCCCUCGCGUAUUACCUCUACUCGAGAGGCGUAGCAUCAGCAUCACCACAACAGGUCGCAGCGCUGGCAGCGCCAUCGCCGUCGCCAGCAGGCCUCGAGGGAGAACUGACGUUGUACCUUAGCAAGAUGGCCGCCUUUCAGCAGGCAGUGAUGACCGCGUCGGAUGCAGAUAUGGCGGGAUCGGCGACGGAAGGAUCGUUCGAGCGGAUGUGGUGUGCGCACGCGCCGCUGCUGCGGUGGGUGCACGCGUACCUGAGCGAUUCAGCCGCCGCGCUGGCGGCUAGUAGCUCAGCGGUGGAGCAGGUAAGCAGCGGCGCCGACGGCGAUCCUCGAACGGGGCACCAGCGCCCUUCUGUCGCAUUUGAGAAGGUCGUUCACUUGUCGCUAUCUCGACUUUUGCCUGACGAUUCCAGGUGGCCCCUGCCUCUGUGGAAAGUGGCAGCGUUGCCCAUCGCACCAGUGCCUCCCUUGACGCUGCACUGCCGCGGGCCGGAUGAUGCUGCCACGUCGGCAAGCGUCGCGACGGAUAGCAUCGUGCAGUGGGCCGCUGCUGUGCUGUCGGUUGUGGUCGAUUAUGGGAAGACUGCUGGUGGCACGGAGGGGAACAGCAAGGCACCCCUGAUGCCGCUGCUGAGCCGCCUCGUGCGCCUCAUCGACGCAUACAACGGAUGGUCUUUGAAUAAUAGCCUGACCCCAGCGCGGGGCGCCAGUAACGACGGCCGAAACGGCACACGCGGUGUGGCCGCAGAGAAGGCAGCAGGUGAUCACUCCGUCGAUGCGUCGGCAACGGUGCAGCGGUCAAUCCCAUCGGCGUGCUGCACGGGUGGCGUCUUCAACAUCAUGAGCGCCGCUUGUGCAUGGAUGGCCACAGUGAGCGAGUCACUUCUGCUCCAGAAGCCCUCGUGUGAGUUAACGGCUUUGUGUGCGACGGCAGAGUCGCCGGUGUCGCGCAGCGCGGGAGGGCAUCUCGUCAGCGACGCCGCAACCGCCAUGUCGAUCCCGCCUUCUGGGUUGUUCCGACGGUAUGCGCGGCCAUUUCAGAAGCUGUCGGUGCCGAGUAGCGGAGGCGCAAAGGCCCUCAUGAACGCUGGGACUCUGGCGGCCACCGUUCCCCGGCUUCCCACGACUACGGAGACGCGGACCAGUGAUGCAGCGGCGGCGGCAGCGCAAGAGGGGAAGCGGUGCGCCGUGACAGCGUCGGCGCGUGUUCACCACCACAACGCAGAUGUGGUGCUGCCGCCGUACCCUCAGGAAGUGUCGUGGAUGAUUCGGCACGUCAUCGCCAAGAACGCGGGACACUUCGAAGUGAACGUUGCCCGCGGCACCGACACUGUCACUCCCACGGCGGCCCGCACGGGGUUUCCACCUUCAAUGCUCGACCUGGCAACGGGGGGCUCCUCCUCGCUCGCAACGCGCCAGAGCACAAUGGCCACGAUGACCAUCACGACGCCGAGCACCGGGCUCCUUCUGCAGCAGCAGCGGCGCCGGCUGCGCUGGCAAACAUCUGGCGUCGCAGCAAAGCUUCAGCCCUACUCGCAGGGUGUACAUCUCAUCAAGGAGAUGGCGCGCAAUCUUCUCGGUCGUCGCCCGCUAGCUGAGGCGGCAGUGGCACUACAGGAAGCGUUAGAGUCAACGCUGGCCGCCCCGCAAUGUGAGGUGGCCGCCGGAGAAGGACGCGGUGGAAACGUGUCGGCGCCGUCGCAUCAGAGCCGGAAAAAGCAACGCGGAGGGUCAGCCGACGGUAGCACUGCGGGCACGGAGCAGGUUAGCGCGCUGGGCCUACUACAGCGCUACUUGGUCUCCGUGGACCCGAUGCAAGCGCACCUGGCAACCAAGUCGAAGCCAGUAGCGCUGCAGCGCCCCGCGCUGUUGACGGAGCUUCACCAAAGCAAGGAAAGCAGCGAAAACGAAAUGCUGGCGACGCGAGCGGCGGCAGAGAACCUUAUGCCUCGCAUUUACGAGCACAUGCUUCAGCAGGCAUUUCUGUAUCAGCUGCUGCGAGAAACCAAGUUGCAGUCGACGCGCCAUUCAGCCUCGCUGCCUAGUCAUGGUCACACCUCCGCCGCGGACAGGGAGGAAGUUGUCUUCGCGGACGACGACUGGAGCGUGACGCAGCAGCUACCAGUGCAAGCCAUCGCGGCGUCCAUUGUUGACUUUCAGGAGCGUUUUGGUGCCCACAACGUUGCGUGGCGCUCCUGCGCCUUUCACUACCGUUCUCUCCAGUCACCAACCGCGACUGCGGCCGGUAGUGCCGGCAGAGGCAUCGACGCAGUUGCGUCAACUGAGGAAGACAAAGAUGGUGAGGUGCACCGCACGUCUGCCUACGCGCACAACGCCCUCAACGUGCACCCGACACGAAGAGUGACACACAUGUGGGUUGCCGGGGUGGUAGUGCCGGAUGUGCAGAUGGCAGAGUAUAUCAAGAAAGGGAGAGGGCCGCACUCCGAUGCGAAGGCGUGGCAAAGCAGCCGCCCCUCGCUGGGACAGCGGCGCUCGCGUAGGUGGGUAGACAUGGUCCCCCGCGCAGGGACUGUGACCUCAGUGGAAGUCUACGCACUGUGGCAGUCGCUGCUACAGCAGCAGCAAGGCAGUGACGUGACGAUGCAACUGCGCGUGGGGCCGGCGGAGUUGACGAUGCGUGCAAUGCACGACCUCAUCUCCCAGUACGUGCAGCGACACGCCGAAGUGUCGACGUCACUUGUCGGCGUGAGUGGCGUGCCGUCGGCGCCUUCUGAAAGUGCAAUGGCUACAGAAAGUUCCCCGAUGCGCUUCGAUAUUCACGAGACCCUCUAUCCGUUUGGCGAUGCGGUGUUGGAGGUGUGGGUGAGUGAGGCACAGCGUUUGUGCCGCUACAUCAAAGCCACCGAGGUCAGCGCUACUCUGCACGCGACGCCGUCGAGCACGGGAGUCGGCAACGUGCACCUGACCGUUCACUGGGAUGACGGACUUCUUUUCACGUGCACACGCGGCAGCGGCAGACAAGAUUGCAGCAGUAUGGUUCCGCCCAUCGAUCUAACGCUUACCACCUGCAAUGCGGUCUUUCAGUGGCGCGACGGUGAGUCACGCAUCCGCCUUCGCUACUACCCGAACACCUCAUCCUGCACCACGGCGGCCGCCGCGGUGUCGCUGAAGGAGCUGAGCGGGCAGCAGACAGCGACCUUGCCGCAAGGUGGCGUCAUGGAGACGUGCGCAGUCCUCCUCGAGGAGCGCGUCACUCUCUACUGCGUCCACCACUGCCCAACAGAAUUCACCGCAGCAACAUCGGUGGAGCUGGAAGCGUCGUCCGAAAAGGAGACGAGCUGCGAGGUCGACGAGCGCACCGGCGUGGUGCAACGCUUCUACGCUUCAGGGAUGCAGCAGUUGUUGUUUCCUAGCGGUGCAAUCAUGGUACGGCGGCCGCUGAAACCGGUCGUCGCUACGUCGGCGGCGCCCAAGUCGACCUCGCCGUAUUGUGACACGUUGGUGACGCUGGACGGUCGGUGCUUUGUGUGCAACGGCAGUAGCACCGGAGGCGCCUCUGCGAACGCACCGGCUGCCGGCUCGAAGACGGUUCACCCCAGCGCGUUUCAGCGCGUACAGGUGCGCAUCGCGCGUGCUAACUCCAAAGGCAUGAAGAGCAGCACUGGCGCCCAUGACGCGCAGGCCCCGCCCUUCAUACACACCGAGAUCACCUACGAUGCGGUCCACCACUGCCAUAUACGCUCCCGCCAAGACGGCUUGACGGUGACUGAGUACGAGUCUUUGGCCUCCUACUCGGAGACCGACGCCAAAAAGAACAGCGGCCGCGCGGGCGCCAUGCUUGCCCGGGUCGUCGUGUUUCCGGACGGCACCACCAUCACGACGGUCGCGCCGCGCGAGGCGCGGCGGCGUGCGCUCGUGCGCCGCCCCGAUGGCACUUCCGUGUCAGCGUCGCUCUCCUCCCCGACCUUGUGCGCGCUCCUGGAAGAGCUGCAGGCGGUGGAGGACAGCCUUUUCGGGGCGGCGGCUGACGCAGCAGAGCUCUCCGUGCGGUGGUGCGUGGAAGCGUCGACCAUGCCUCGAGUGUAUCUUGCGCCCGCUCCUGUGGGGAGCAGCGAAGAAGCGAGGGAGUGCAAGGCCCUCUUUGUUGCCGUCUUCGGUGAUGGAACGAUCUUGCAGCGGCGAUGGGCGGCCGCGCCGACGCUUCCAGCCGCGUUCUCCACCGUAGGCACCGAGGCGAACGCGGACGAGGAUGAUGGUUUGGAGGGUGAGGAGGGUGGAGAAGGCGGCGCAAAUAGCACCCCUGCGUACCGCGGGGGUACGUUUGAAACGGUGCUUGCACGCCCCUCCACCAGCGCCGUGCGCGUCCUUCAUCAGCACGCCAUCGCCACGAUUGAGCCUGCUGAUGUGCUCGCCACCAUCACGCAUGCCUCUCCUGCUGCGUACGCUGUGGGGCAGGGACUGCUGUUCUUUGAUCUAGCGUGCGGCGGUGGCAUGCGCAUGGUGGACGGGGCGCGGUGCGUGUGGGAGGUGCGCGGGCUGGCGGAAGCCAACGACGCACCGCAGGUGUUGUACCCGGAGCGACCAAGCACAUACGAGGAAUUGCUACGCGCCCUGGUGAGUCCCCACUACAGUCCUCAUCGUCUGCCCCGAGCGGCGCAGCUGAUGUAUGCGCGCGAGCAACGGCGAGAGACCGCAGCGUACGCGCGCCAGCGGGCCACUGGGUGGUGCCCGUCUCUUCUGCGGCGAAUGCGCGAGAUAGCCGAGCCGUUCAUUCGGACUGCGCAGCUUCUCCGCACAGACGUGUUGGCGCCCAUCGAGGCAGCCGCCGCUGCAGCCGAAGAACGAGCUUUGUGCGUUUGCAGCGCUUCUGAAACGGCCCCUUCCACCACCGUCAAAGGAGGCGCCACGGCGGCGGCGCGGGCUGGCUGUUCUUCAGCGAGCAUUGCACCGCAGUGCAUGUCGCGCGUCUUACCAAUUUGCUUUGGUCAGCUCGAUAAUGGCGAGGCCAUCCGCUACUGGCACCUGAGCGAGGUGCUUCCCUCGCUCUCCGAGUCAUGCGCAUCGUCCACGCCGGCAGCAGCAUCGGAGCCGCAGGUGAUCCAGCGCCUGGUGCCAGGAAUCUCCACGGGCAGUGUGUUAGGGUACAUCAGCACUGCUCCGGGGCACACAUACGGCGCUGACGCAAUUGGCGUUCUUCUCUGCGGGCACCCGGCCGCAACCAGCGGCAAUCGCGGUGUCCUCUGGCAGCGCUUGGCGACUGUCGCCCGACUCUCACUGCUCUUCUGUGGGGUGUUGGCGCCGGCCAUACCCCCGGCCAUCAGGCGACCCUUGCCUGCAUCCUUUGCUUCUGGUGCUCCCUCCCCCGCUCCUGAGAGCAGUAGCGCCUACACGGCGUCCCUACCCCCGUUGGCCGUGCUCCUCAGCCAUGGCAGUCGCUGGCUCCCCCCCACCCUUCAGCCACCGCAGCAGUUUGGUGCCUAUCAGAGGAAGCGGCCCGCUGCCGGCGCUGGAGCAGAAGUUGAGUACGCCGAUGUGGCGUGGGUGCGCGAUUCAACGGCUGCCCUUUCCAACGCGGCGGCCAACACAGCUUAUGUCCAAUAUGUGGUGGACCAAGUAAACCCCUUCACGGCUUUGAGGACCUCGCGCGCGGCGCUGCAGAGAGAGGUGGCGCGAAGGGAACUGUACCGGCACGAGCAGCUCGCACAACUGAGUCAUUACCACCGUGUGCUAAGCACUCAGUGGCCGAUGGAAAUGCCAGCCGCGGCGCGGGAAGAGCAGGUGCGGCUGGAAAUGCGCUUUGAGGAACUGCAACGUGGUCUACAGUCCGCGGCGCCGCCACCAGCAACAGUGAGUUGCCUUUCCCUCCCAUCCACGAUUGGUGGACCCGGCAGGAGCGAGCGCAUAGUGGUGUAGAACGGUUAGCCGCAGACGUCUGUGCGACUAGCAACUAGCUCUUUCCUUUUUUUUUCUCUACGGAUGUAAAUGAAGCUCAUGCGUGUAUGCCUGUCUGAGCGCACGCUGUCGUUCUUCUGGAUAAGUCUCCAGUCCCGACGCCGCGACGUCUUUGCUUGCGCGCUGGCACGUCUCUGCUCCACCGGAAAAGGAGUAGGUAAGCGUCGUGUGCUCAUCCUCUGUACCCGGCUCUCGCUCAUCCACUCGUUUCUUCUCGUCCCGCUCGGCAGCUGGUCGAGUCGUUUGUGGGCGUCGCUGAUGUACGUUACAGCAAAGCAGAGGGAAAGGACACCGCGCUUUUUCAUGUGUGCGCAUGACAGCCCACAUGUGAGGAGCCCCCACUCCACCCCACCCACACUCAACAAAAAACGUGGCGUUUCUUCCCGUCCCCUUUCCCCCUCUUGUAGGAGCGAGUAGGGGAUGAAGAUGGGCUAUAAGCUUGUGUGUGUGUGUGUGUUUGAGAGUGUGGCUCUGCGAAAGCGGGCGCGUGGAGAGGUGACAAACCUCGUGCGUAUGGGAAUUGGUGUGGCGGAGUAAAGCGGACAGGCAGCCGUUUGCAGCGCGCGCGCCUCUAGGGACGCGUCACCCUUUUUGUACCAGGCGGCACUCACCCCCCCCCUCCCCUACCACCUUUCUCCUCCACCGGCAAGUCCUUUUAUGUAUUCUUGUCUUCAG
rnacentral:misc_RNA from 1 species